CGGCCGGCGAGGUCGAGCGCCUAGUGUCGGAGCUGAGCGGCGGGACCGGAGGGGAUGAGGAGGAAGAGUGGCUCUAUGGCGGCCCAUGGGACGUGCAUGUGCACAGUGAUUUGGCAAAGGACCUAGAUGAAAAUGAAGUUGAAAGGCCAGAGGAAGAAAAUGCCAGUGCUAAUCCUCCAUCUGGAAUUGAAGAUGAAACUGCUGAAAAUGGUGUACCAAAACCGAAAGUAACUGAGACCGAAGAUGAUAGUGAUAGUGACAGUGAUGAUGAUGAAGAUGAUGUUCAUGUCACUAUAGGAGACAUUAAAACGGGAGCACCACAGUAUGGGAGUUAUGGUACAGCACCUGUAAAUCUUAACAUCAAGACAGGGGGAAGAGUUUAUGGAACUACAGGAACAAAAGUCAAAGGAGUAGACCUUGAUGCACCUGGAAGCAUUAAUGGAGUUCCACUCUUAGAGGUAGAUUUGGAUUCUUUUGAAGAUAAACCAUGGCGUAAACCUGGUGCUGAUCUUUCUGAUUAUUUUAAUUAUGGGUUUAAUGAAGAUACCUGGAAAGCUUACUGUGAAAAACAAAAGAGGAUACGAAUGGGACUUGAAGUUAUACCAGUAACCUCUACUACAAAUAAAAUUACGGCCGAAGACUGUACUAUGGAAGUUACACCAGGUGCAGAGAUCCAAGAUGGCAGAUUCAAUCUUUUUAAGGUACAGCAGGGAAGAACUGGAAACUCAGAGAAAGAAACAGCCCUUCCAUCUGCAAAAGCUGAGUUUACUUCUCCUCCUUCUUUGUUCAAGACUGGGCUUCCACCGAGCAGGAGAUUACCUGGGGCAAUUGAUGUUAUCGGUCAGACUAUAACUAUCAGCCGAGUAGAAGGAAGGCGACGGGCAAAUGAGAACAGCAACAUACAGGUCCUUUCUGAAAGAUCUGCUACUGAAGUAGACAACAAUUUUAGCAAACCACCUCCGUUUUUCCCUCCAGGAGCUCCUCCCACUCACCUUCCACCUCCUCCAUUUCUUCCACCUCCUCCGACUGUCAGCACUGCUCCACCUCUGAUUCCACCACCGGGUAUUCCAAUAACUGUACCACCUCCAGGUAAAACUUUUUUCAUGUUUUCUCCAUCAUUGUUAAUAAACAUGAAAUUUCAAGCUUAUAGUUACAGGAGAGACGGUGUUGAUGCGGUUAGAAUAUGGAAUAGGCUAUGGGGAUUUCAAGGUCCUAUUUUCAGCUCUGCCUUUGCUUCAUUCCAGUUUUGAUUAAGAUAUUUAGUUUUCUUAUACCUGUCUUACCCAUUUCUGUAGAAAUAGAGAUUCUGAGAAAAUUCUUACCUAUUCAAUUUGUGAAGAAAACAGUAUAGGAUAUAAAAUAAAAUUUUUCUUAAAAAUGUCUUUACAGACCAAUGAAUUUUUUAUGUAAUACAGUGACUAUAAGAGAAGAGAAAGAUAAUUUACUUUGACUUUAUCAUUAUUU
rnacentral:sRNA from 1 species